rnacentral:rRNA from 1 species
AUUGAACGCUGGCGGCAUGCUUUACACAUGCAAGUCGAACGGCAGCGCGGGCUUCGGCCUGGCGGCGAGUGGCGAACGGGUGAGUAAUACAUCGGAACGUGCCCAGUUGUGGGGGAUAGCUCGGCGAAAGCCGGAUUAAUACCGCAUACGACCUGAGGGUGAAAGCGGGGGAUCUUCGGACCUCGCGCUAUUGGAGCGGCCGAUGGCAGAUUAGCUAGUUGGUGGGGUAAAGGCCUACCAAGGCGACGAUCUGUAGCUGGUCUGAGAGGACGACCAGCCACACUGGGACGGAGACACGGCCCAGACUCCUACGGGAGGCAGCAGUGGGGAAUGUUGGACAAUGGGCGAAAGCCUGAUCCAGCAAUGCCGCGUGUGUGAUGAAGGCCUUCGGGUUGUAAAGCACUUUUGGCGGGAACGAAAAGGACUGUGCCAAUACCACGGUUCGAUGACGGUACCCGCAGAAUAAGCACCGGCUAACUACGUG